AACUGAUUGAACGUGCUUGCACGGACUUGACGUUGGUUUACCAGCGAGUGGCGGACGGGUGAGUAACACGUAGGUAACCUGCCCCAAAGCGGGGGAUAACAUUUGGAAACAGAUGCUAAUACCGCAUAACAAUUUGAAUCGCAUGAUUCAAAUUUAAAAGAUGGCUUCGGCUAUCACUUUGGGAUGGACCUGCGGCGCAUUAGCUUGUUGGUAGGGUAACGGCCUACCAAGGCUGUGAUGCGUAGCCGAGUUGAGAGACUGAUCGGCCACAAUGGAACUGAGACACGGUCCAUACUCCUACGGGAGGCAGCAGUAGGGAAUCUUCCACAAUGGGCGCAAGCCUGAUGGAGCAACACCGCGUGAGUGAAGAAGGGUUUCGGCUCGUAAAGCUCUGUUGUUAGAGAAGAACGUGCGUGAGAGCAACUGUUCACGCAGUGACGGUAUCUAACCAGAAAGUCACGGCUAACUACGUGCCAGCAGCCGCGGUAAUACGUAGGUGGCAAGCGUUAUCCGGAUUUAUUGGGCGUAAAGCGAGCGCAGGCGGUUUGAUAAGUCUGAUGUGAAAGCCUUUGGCUUAACCAAAGAAGUGCAUCGGAAACUGUCAGACUUGAGUGCAGAAGAGGACAGUGGAACUCCAUGUGUAGCGGUGGAAUGCGUAGAUAUAUGGAAGAACACCAGUGGCGAAGGCGGCUGUCUG
rnacentral:rRNA from 1 species